rnacentral:rRNA from 1 species
GUGUCAGCCGCCGCGGUAAUACAGAGGUGGCAAGCGUUGUUCGGAAUUACUGGGCGUAAAGGGCGCGUAGGCGGUUCCGUAAGUCCCGCGUGAAAUCCCCCGGCUCAACUGGGGAACUGCGCGGGAAACUUCGGGGCUUGAGUUCGGGAGAGGGAAGCGGAAUUCCGGGUGUAGCGGUGAAAUGCGUAGAUAUCCGGAGGAACACCGGUGGCGAAGGCGGCUUCCUGGACCGACACUGACGCUGAUGUGCGAAAGCUAGGGGAGCAAACGGGAUUAGAAACCCCCGUAGUCC